CUGUCUUUGAUUUUCUAUUUCUAACACUCUGGGCAGUGAAUCCCAUCAAAAAUAAAUAAGAUAAUCCCAUCAAGAGUCAAGAAGACAAUGAAGACAGUGCAUUGCUCUUGGAAGCUUUGUCUUGAAUUUCAGAUUCCUCUUGGGCUCAGAAUUACCCACCUGAAAUGAGAAAGCUGGAUGAGGCGCUCCCACCCAACAGGCACUGCCCCUCAAGACCCAGCCUUUCUCUGGGCUCCGGACAAAAUUGAGCCUCAGGCGUCUCUGUGAGCUGGGCUGAUGGACGUCAUUUGCUCAGGUUUACUGAGGUAAGGAACUGCAAAUGACAAGCCAGCAGCUGCAGCUUCAGAUUCAGUGGAAUCCAUACUGUGUCCCUGGUGGCAGUGUUUCUUCCAGGGUGUCUAGCCCAGCAGAGCCUGAAGCUUUGGGGACAGGCAGCAGAAAUUCCCCAGGUGGGCCAUUUGACUUAAUAGCAGAGUCUCCUCCUAUUUUCACUCCUUGGUUCCCAGACAAGUGUGCCCUAUCUAUUGUGGACACAGUACCAUACAUAGUCUUUGGUUCCAAAUAGAGAUU
rnacentral:lncRNA from 10 species